rnacentral:tRNA from 1 species
AGUGGGAAACGUUCCUCCCAGGACUAU